GUCUAACAGUAGUGUUAUUAUUAAUAAAGGUAGAAGUGUUUCAGUACAUGAAGAGGUGGUUUGAAAAAUUAGUCCCACAUCGGGUAAUAACACAAACGUUAGAGUCUUUAUAAACUAAAUUCUUUAGCAAAUAGAUGCGUUCGUGAAAAGGAGAGAUGGUUGGCAUCUCCCCUGACAGGGAUGGGAACAGCCUUCGGGCUUUCCUGUUACACAUCUCGGUUAAGGCUAUCCACCACUUUGAGGUUGGAUCUAACCCAAUUUUUUUU
rnacentral:lncRNA from 1 species